AGAGUUUGAUCAUGGCUCAGAUUGAACGCUGGCGGCAGGCCUAACACAUGCAAGUCGAGCGGUAGCACAGAGAGCUUGCUCUCGGGUGACGAGCGGCGGACGGGUGAGUAAUGUCUGGGAAACUGCCUGAUGGAGGGGGAUAACUACUGGAAACGGUAGCUAAUACCGCAUAACGUCGCAAGACCAAAGUGGGGGACCUUCGGGCCUCAUGCCAUCAGAUGUGCCCAGAUGGGAUUAGCUAGUAGGUGGGGUAACGGCUCACCUAGGCGACGAUCCCUAGCUGGUCUGAGAGGAUGACCAGCCACACUGGAACUGAGACACGGUCCAGACUCCUACGGGAGGCAGCAGUGGGGAAUAUUGCACAAUGGGCGCAAGCCUGAUGCAGCCAUGCCGCGUGUGUGAAGAAGGCCUUCGGGUUGUAAAGCACUUUCAGCGGGGAGGAAGGCGUUGAGGUUAAUAACCUUGUCGAUUGACGUUACCCGCAGAAGAAGCACCGGCUAACUCCGUGCCAGCAGCCGCGGUAAUACGGAGGGUGCAAGCGUUAAUCGGAAUUACUGGGCGUAAAGCGCACGCAGGCGGUCUGUCAAGUCGGAUGUGAAAUCCCCGGGCUCAACCUGGGAACUGCAUUCGAAACUGGCAGGCUAGAGUCUUGUAGAGGGGGGUAGAAUUCCAGGUGUAGCGGUGAAAUGCGUAGAGAUCUGGAGGAAUACCGGUGGCGAAGGCGGCCCCCUGGACAAAGACUGACGCUCAGGUGCGAAAGCGUGGGGAGCAAACAGGAUUAGAUACCCUGGUAGUCCACGCCGUAAACGAUGUCGAUUUGGAGGUUGUGCCCUUGAGGCGUGGCUUCCGGAGCUAACGCGUUAAAUCGACCGCCUGGGGAGUACGGCCGCAAGGUUAAAACUCAAAUGAAUUGACGGGGGCCCGCACAAGCGGUGGAGCAUGUGGUUUAAUUCGAUGCAACGCGAAGAACCUUACCUGGUCUUGACAUCCACAGAACUUAGCAGAGAUGCUUUGGUGCCUUCGGGAACUGUGAGACAGGUGCUGCAUGGCUGUCGUCAGCUCGUGUUGUGAAAUGUUGGGUUAAGUCCCGCAACGAGCGCAACCCUUAUCCUUUGUUGCCAGCGGUCCGGCCGGGAACUCAAAGGAGACUGCCAGUGAUAAACUGGAGGAAGGUGGGGAUGACGUCAAGUCAUCAUGGCCCUUACGACCAGGGCUACACACGUGCUACAAUGGCAUAUACAAAGAGAAGCGACCUCGCGAGAGCAAGCGGACCUCAUAAAGUAUGUCGUAGUCCGGAUUGGAGUCUGCAACUCGACUCCAUGAAGUCGGAAUCGCUAGUAAUCGUAGAUCAGAAUGCUACGGUGAAUACGUUCCCGGGCCUUGUACACACCGCCCGUCACACCAUGGGAGUGGGUUGCAAAAGAAGUAGGUAGCUUAACCUUCGGGAGGGCGCUUACCACUUUGUGAUUCAUGACUGGGGUGAAGUCGUAACAAGGUAACCGUAGGGGAACCUGCGGUUGGAUCACCU
rnacentral:rRNA from 1 species